rnacentral:rRNA from 1 species
UACGCAGGGGGCAAGCGUGGUCCGGAUUUAUUGGGCGUAAAGCGCGCGCAGGCGGUCUCUUAAGUCUGAUGUGAAAGCCCACGGCUCAACCGUGGAAGGUCAUUGGAAACUGGGAGACUUGAGUGUAGGAGAGGAAAGUGGAAUUCCACGUGUAGCGGUGAAAUGCGUAGAUAUGUGGAGGAACACCAGUGGCGAAGGCGACUUUCUGGCCUAUAACUGACGCUGAGGCGCGAAAGCGUGGUGAGCAAACAGG